rnacentral:ncRNA from 1 species
ACACAUAACGGUUUACUUGGAACUGGUAAGGACAUGGGGCAUCUGAGUGUAUAACUAAAACAGAGGAGUUAGAUGGUCCUUGCGGACGUUGUCUAUCUAAGAUUUCCGCCCAGUGAUUUGAAUGUUAAGGUGGAGUAAGCUUUAUAAGCGCGGGUAGAUGGAGGGAGUAAUUAUGACUUUUUUAAGCAAUCCAAAUGCAUCGUCGUUCAAUUAGUGAUGGGCAGGAAUGGAUUAACGACAUUCCCACUGUCCCUAUUUAAUAUCUAGUGAAACCACAGCCAAGGGAAAAAUCGCGG